rnacentral:rRNA from 1 species
UUGGACAGAAAGACCCUAGGAAGCUUUACUGUAGCUUGGUAUUGGGUUCGGGCUUUGAUUGCGCAGGAUAGGUGGGAGACUUAGAGCUAAUGCUUGUGGGUGUUAGUGAGUCGCUGGUGAGAUACCACUCUAUCAAGGUUAGGAUUCUACCAGUGACCGUUAUCCGGUUAGUGGACAGUAUCAGGUGGGCAGUUUGACUGGGGCGGUCGCCUCCUAAAAGGUAACGGAGGCGCGCAAAGGUUCCCUCCGGCUGGUUGGAAAUCAGCCUUUGAGUGUAAAGGCAUAAGGGAGCUUGACUGCGAGAGUGACAACUCGAGCAGGGGGAAACACGGCCUUAGUGAUCCGACGGUACCGAGUGAAGGGCCGCGUUAACGAGUAGGU